rnacentral:misc_RNA from 1 species
AAAAUGCGAUAAGUAGCGUGAAUUGCAGACGCUUUGAACGCCAAAAUUUCGAACGCACAUUGCGCCAUAGGAAUUUUACCCUAUGGCACAUCUGGUUGAGGGUCGUGAUCAAAAACAGCUAGGAUUGGGCUGUAAUAGAGCUAACUGGUGGAUCAUCAGGCCGGCACACCCGACUAGUUGCCGGCGGUGUUCUGUCAUCAUGCUAUUCAGAGGGCUCCCUUCAAGGGUGCUUCCUUGCCACACGGACGGGCAGCCACAUCGACUGCUAGUGGGCCGGCCGUCAGGUAUUUGAUUAUAGCUUCUUCGGGGGCUCUAUACCUGUACGGUUUAAACCGGACCGUCGAUUGGUGUUAGGUCACCGUACGUGCCUGGUAGUGGAUUUCUCGAUUUCCCGACCUCA